ACAGGCUGGUGGCGCACUUUUCCCUGAACGGGCGAAGGAUGGAUGCACGCAACCAGCGAAAUGCAGAUACCCGGCCCGCACCAGCGGGCUUUUUUUU
rfam:Erwinia mallotivora strain BT-MARDI contig_72, whole genome shotgun sequence.